UAGACCGAACAUUUUCAUAUGAGAAAAUUUUAUUUAUAUAAUAAAAUGCUUAGAAUCCCUCAUAAGCACUCACCAUUUAUCAGCUGUGCAUCAGAUGCGAGUCACAGUGAAAUGUUAUCCUCCUACACAGGGAUGAAUUAGUGUAUAUCAAGAUAUUAAUUACUAAAGUCUCUAGUAUGUGUUGGUAUUUGUCCUUUUUUUAACCUGAUCAGAGUUCUUUUGAAAGCCUUCCUAUUGAUGUUAAUAGGCACUGAGUUGAGUCCUCUGUCAAUAAACAGAUUUACAAGCAACUGAAUAAGCAAUGAUGAUAACUGAUAUUAAAAUUAUUUUAAGCUGGCUCCAUUCUGCCAUGUCUCCCCUCCGUCUCUUCUCCCUGCUUCCCAACUCUUGUUAGCUACUUUUACUGUCAUUGUUGGAUGGUAACUGUUCAAAAGGACUCACUGCUGGAUACUGAUUGAAAAGAGUGGGCUGUGUCCUUGUUCUGCCUUCUUUCAGGAGUAGAGAGUAAUCCAACACCAUUUUUUUUUUAUCCAGGUGAGGUCAGUUGCUUGGAGGGGUCUCAGCUCACACAUCCAGUAAGUGUAGCAGACUGCUGGCUUGCAGAAGCUUGUAGCAGGCUGCAUACAUCAUACUAGAAGUCUGCAGGCUUCUAGGGGCUACCACCCACCUGUGGGCAGUGAGACCUGACUGCAUGUCUGCUCAGGAGGUUUGAGCCAGCUGAAAGGAAUAAUUAGCUGGC